rnacentral:tRNA from 1 species
UCCCUAGUGGUCCAGUGGCUAAGACUCUGCACUCCCAAUGCAGGGUACCUGGGUUCAAUCCCUGAUCAGAGAA